CUAGCAGAAGUCCAGCAUCUGGCAAGCCGGGAGAGCGGCCGUCUAUCCUGUCCAGCACCCGCACAAGGCCCCACUGUGUUCUCUGUGCUUAGUUUUGGCAAACAGCAUAUCAGUUGCUCAGGUAGAUACCCGAGUUGCGCCAUAAAUUACACAGGUAUAGGGUUUGCAGAUUUGAACUAAAUUGAAUUGACUCAAUUGCGUAACAUUAUGAUAUUAUGGUAAUAGAGAUUAAGGUGACACUCCC